CUCCAUGUGUCUUUGGGACUUGUCAGUUGUGGCAGUCUCCCUUCCUAGCCAUGGAAGAGCAUAUUGUUUAUUGGCAGAGCUGUCACCAAUUAAUUGGUAUCAGGUUCUGACUGGCACAAGUAACAUUC
rnacentral:snoRNA from 1 species